CAAUAAUUUCUAUAUAUUAGAAGAGCUUUGAGCUGCUAGCAAGUUUAGACGUGUUUGUUUUUGGACAAUUACAUAAAAAGCUGAGGGUAGUUUCGAAUUUCUCAUCAUUUAUACCUUUGCGUGUCUUUUAAUUGCUUAGUCAAAAGACACGUGUUAGCUACAGUUGAUUUUACCAACCCAACUGUACUAUGGCAGGCUAUUGUUCAACUUCAAGUUUAGAAACUUUCUGGCUGCUUCUCCUUCGCUGUUUUGCAGAGUUUCUUCUUGUUCUAUCCCUUUGCUUCUUUCAAAUUUCUUCUGUAAUCAUUUGCUAUUUUGCUAUCCCUCUAUUCUUUGUAGUUCAAGUGAAUUCUUUUCACCGUGUCUUUUUUUCUUGCCUGCCUUUGUUGAUAAUUUACUCUUUUCAGUGGUUUCUUGGAUUGUGCAUAUCCGAUUAGCACAUGCAUGUACGGAAACUUCCUGCAUAGGUGUAAAUAAGCUCUCACAACAUUUGAUUCCGUGUAAAGCAAAUGUAGUCAAGACAAACAAGAGCUUUGAUGCAGCCGAGGUUCCGUUCUUAAAUAGAGAUGGAUGAUGGUAAGAAUAUUGUUUGUGACAAUGGAACAGGACUGGUGAAGGUGAGUUCGUACUGCUUACUUUUAUGUUUCUGAAAGAUGGAUUUAUGAUGGUUAACCGCUAUCAUUGAGCUGUUAAUUUUUUUAUGGUGAGACUUGCCAAAUAAAAUAAUAUAUUCUAACUUUUACCCCCACGUUUUUAGAGUUUAUAAUCUAGCUAGCUAUAUUAUCAAAGAAAAUGCCAAAUCCAGAAAAAUCUACAUUUUGGUUUUCCUUGCACCAGCUUCUUGGCAUGAGGAGUGUUGUCAUAGAAAUUGAAAGCUAUUUUACUUGAAACUAACCAAACAAGAUAGUCCCCCUCUCUGUGAAAAGAGAAGGUGCAUCAAUGGGAAAGUUAGGUGCAGAAAAACAAGGCACAUCGGCGAUAGCAUAUUCGUAGGAGGAACGAGGAGCUUGGAGGCAGAAGAUUAAUGAUAUAUAGUUCGUGGAAAUGAUCAAGAAGUACUCCCAUGAUUCUGAUCCAGAGUAUGUUCCUAUCAAGAACCUAAACGACAUGCUUUCAAGACAGAUGGCAUGACAAUUUCAAAUCAUGUCUGUUUUCUGGGCAUAAAUAAUGUCUGUUUUCAAGACAGAAGGCAAGAUCUCAAAAUUCGGGCUUGUAAAAUCAAGAUCUCUUCGGAAUAAUCAUACAUUAGAAGUUAGAUGAAAGAUAAAUCGAAUAUUUCUACUGAUAUCCUGAUAUUUGCAGUUGUAAUGUUUAUUUAAAUAGUAUCCGGCAAUGAGCAUGCUACGCUAUCUA